rnacentral:sRNA from 1 species
GCGGCCGCCCCGUCGCGCCAGCGUGUGGAGAAACCUGGCGCCGCGACCAGUGUAUCGGGGGUCUUGGAAAUGGCUAAGAAAGCUGGCCUCUGCCUAGUAGGCUCUCGGCAGGGGGGCUGCCAAUCCCGGGAUGGUUACCGGAAAUGAACCGCGCGAUCUGGCCCUUUCACACCCACUUAGCUUUGUAGGGGGGUUGUAGUCUUUACAGGACAAAAGGGCACCUAUUCCAGAGCACACCCCCUUUUAUUCCUCUCCCUUCUGUGCCUCACUGCUUUCUGAUCUAAUAGUUCUCCCAGUAAGUGCUCCAAAGUCGUGUGGGGCCGCAUCUGAGGUCUGCCCGCCUGAAUUGGGUUGAAGGGGUUCAUGUUCUGAGAAGGCGAAGGCCAGGGUGUAGGAUGGUGCCCAGUGCCUUUCCAGUCUUUGUAGGCGUGUCUGGUGUCUUCAUUGUAAUAGCAGAGUCGUCAACUUUCUAUGAAAGAAAAAGAACAGCAAGAAGCGAUUGAACACAUUGAUGAAGUACAAAAUGAAAUAGACAGACUUAAUGAACAAGCCAGUGAGGAGAUUUUGAAAGUAGAACAGAAAUAUAACAAACUCCGC